UGGGGAAUCUUGCGCAAUGGCCGAAAGGCUGACGCAGCGACGCCGCGUGUGGGAGGACGCCCUUCGGGGUGUAAACCACUGUUGCCCGGGACGAACAUCCUCUUUCGAGAGGACUGACGGUACCGGGUGAGGAAGCACCGGCUAACUCCGUGCCAGCAGCCGCGGUAAUACGGAGGGUGCGAGCGUUGUCCGGAAUCACUGGGCGUAAAGGGCGCGUAGGUGGCGCGGGUAGUCGUCGGUGAAAGCUCAGGGCUCAACCCUGAGUCGGCCGGUGAUACUCCCGUGCUCGAGUGUGGUAGAGGCCAAUGGAAUUCCGGGUGUAGCGGUGGAAUGCGUAGAGAUCCGGAAGAACACCGGUGGCGAAGGCGGUUGGCUGGGCCACAACUGACACUGAUGCGCGACAGCGUGGGGAGCAAACA
rnacentral:rRNA from 1 species